GCAUUCUGUAGCUACAGGACAACGAAAGAUUUCCUCUUCUUUCCUGGAACAAAGAAUAGAAACUCUGGACCCUAGUGAAAAAACCUGCAAAACUGGUAGUCUCCUGGAACUUGGCUUGAACUGGACUACACAGAAAUUUAUGGCAAGACCUCUUCCAGAAACCAGAAAACCACGUGUAACAAAGCACUAAUUAGAAGAGAACACAUCUGUGCAGAAGAACUAGGAUCUUCCUGUUAG